UGAAUACGAGACGCUAAGGCGUCGAAGUAGUGUAUGUCAUACUUCCAAGAAAAGCUUGCACUGUCAUAAGUAAAAAAUGCCUGUACCAUAACCGACACAGGUGGGUAGGUAGAGUAUACUAAGGGGCGCGAGAUAACUCUCUCUAAGGAACUCGGCAAAAUAACUCCGUAACUUCGGGAGAAGGAGUACCUUAUUCUAUAAGGUUGCAAUAACAAGAUCCAAGCAACUGUUUAUCAAAAACACAGGCCUCCGCUAAGUCGUAAGACGAUGUAUGGGGGCUGACGCCUGCCCAGUGCCAGAAGGUUAAAGAAGUCGGUUAGCAUUAGCGAAGCUGGUAACUGAAGCCCUGGUGAACGGCGGCCGUAACUAUAACGGUCCUAAGGUAGCGAAAUUCCUUCGGGUAAGUUCCGACCCGCACGAAAGGCGUAAUGAUUUGGAUACUGUCUCGGAGAGGGGCUCGGUGAAAUAGACUUGUCUGUGAAGAUGCGGACUACCUGCACCAGGACAGAAAGACCCUAUGAAGCUUUACUGUAACUUGAAAUUGAAAUUGGACUUUAUUCGCGCAGUAUAGGUGGGAGGUGUUGAUUAUAAUCUUGCGGGAUUAUUGGAGCCAUCAGUGAGAUACCACUCUUGUAAUGUCAGAUUUCUAACUUUGAAUCAUUAUCUGGUCAAAGGACAGUUUCAGGCGGGCAGUUUGACUGGGGCGGUCGCCUCCCAAACGGUAACGGAGGCGUACAAAGGUUUCCUCUGAACGGGUAGAAAUCGUAUCUAGAGUGUAAAGGCAUAAGGAAGCUUGACUGUGAGACCUACAAGUCGAACAGGGACGAAAGUCGGUCUUAGUGAUCUGACGGUACUGAGUGGAAAGGCCGUCACUCAACGGAUAAAAGUUACUCUAGGAUAACAGGCUGAUCUCCCCCAAGAGUUCACAUCGACGGGGAGGUUUGGCACCUCGAUGUCGGCUCAUCGCAUCCUGGGGCGGUAGUACGUCCCAAGGGUUGGGCUGUUCGCCCAUGAAAGCGGUACGCGAGCUGGGUUCAGAACGUCGUGAGACAGUUCGGUCCAUAUCCGGUGUAGGCGUUAGAAUAUUGAGAGGAGCCUUCUUUAGUACGAGAGGACCGAGAAGGACAUACCUCUGGUGUACCAGUUAUCGUGCCGACGGUAAACGCUGGGUAGCUAUGUAUGGAGUGGAUAACCGCUGAAAGCAUCUAAGUGGGAAGCCCACCUCAAGAUAAGUAUUCUCAU
rnacentral:rRNA from 1 species